CAAACCUAACCACACACUCACCAAACCAAACCACUACCCAAUUGAUUGAAGAAUAUUAAUGAUGUUGUUGAUUGAAGAAUAUUAAUGAUGUUGUUGAUUGAAGAAUAUUAAUGAUGUUGUCUACCAAUUAUAUUGUGAGGUGAACAACCAAUGUCUUAGGCCUAUAAACAGAUACCUACAUCAAGAGAAGUUUACACAUAU
rnacentral:lncRNA from 1 species